rnacentral:rRNA from 1 species
UACGGAGGGUGCAAGCGUUGUUCGGAAUUAUUGGGCGUAAAGCGCGUGUAGGCGGUCUGUUAAGUCUGGUGUGAAAGCCCUGGGCUCAACCCGGGAAGUGCAUUGGAUACUGACAGACUUGAGUACGGGAGAGGGAAGUGGAAUUUCGAGUGUAGGGGUGAAAUCCGUAGAUAUUCGAAGGAACACCGGUGGCGAAGGCGGCUUCCUGGACCGAUACUGACGCUGAGACGCGAAAGCGUGGGGAGCAAACAGG